GCAGCAGCGGCCGGUGUCAGCGCCGCGGGAAGGCCGCCUGCUGUGACUGCGGAACUGGCUGCCUGCAGAAGGACCUUCAGACAAGCUGUCCACGUACCCUCUUCGGUAGUGCUCUGAGUUUCUUGUCCUAUGGGCCUGUCCAGGACCAAUUCGACAUGGGUCUUUGUAGUGUGUAAACAGAGAAUGCUGUUGCUCCAGCUUGUCCUCUGCAGGGAAAGUACAAGCCCAAGAAAAGGCACAUCAGCUACGUGUUCUGAACCUGUGGACGACUGCGUGUUCUGCCACAACA